CAAUCUGGAGAUUUCUCAGAAAACUGGAAAUGGAUCUACCUGAAGACCCAGCUAUACCACUCUUGGGCAAAUCCCCAAAAGAUGCCCCACCAUGCCACAGGGGCACGCUUUCAACUAUGUUCAUAGUAGCCUUGUUUGAACUCUACAAGGUUAACAAGGCAAAGGGCCCAAGUAAGGAUGCCUCAAUCCCACUUGGGAGGGAGAAGAAGGCAAUCACAAGAAGAGGAAUGAAGCAAGGGAUCCUGUGACAAAGGGAUCUGGAAGGGGAUGAGGGAAAAACACGAUCAGGUAUUUGGUGGGUGGAGAUAGGAUUGAUUGAGGU
rnacentral:lncRNA from 1 species